UGCAUGAAGUCGGAAUUGCUAGUAAUCNCGGAUCAGCAUGCCGCGGUGAAUACGUUCCCGGGCCUUGUACACACCGCCCGUCACACCAUGGGAGCCGGUAAUACCCGAAGUCAGUAGUCCAACCUCGUGAGGACGCUGCCGAAGGUAGGAUUGGCGACUGGGGUGAAGUCGUAACAAGGUACC
rnacentral:rRNA from 1 species